rnacentral:rRNA from 1 species
GACGAACGCUGGCGGCGUGCCUAAUACAUGCAAGUAGAACGCUGAAGAGAGGAGCUUGCUCGUCUUGGAUGAGUUGCGAACGGGUGAGUAACGCGUAGGUAACCUGCCUGGUAGCGGGGGAUCACUAUUGGAAACGAUAGCUAAUACCGCAUAAAAUGGAUUAUCGCAUGAUAAUCCAUUGAAAGGUGCAAAUGCAUCACUACCAGAUGGACCUGCGUUGUAUUAGCUAGUUGGUGGGGUAACGGCUCACCGAGGCGACGAUGCAUAGCCGACCUGAGAGGGUGAUCGGCCACACUGGGACGGAGACACGCCCCAGACUCCUACGGGAAGCAGCAGUAGGGAAUCUUCGGCAAUGGACGGAAGUCUGAGCGAGCAACGCCGCGGGAGUGAAGAAGGAUGUCGGAUCGUAAAGCUCGGUUGUAAGAGAAGAACGAGUGUGAGAGUGGAAAGUUCACACUGUGACGGUAACUUAUCAGAAAGGGACGGCUAACUACGUG